rnacentral:rRNA from 1 species
UACGUAGGGGGCGAGCGUUGUCCGGAUUUAUUGGGCGUAAAGAGCUCGUAGGCGGCUUGGCAAGUCGGGUGUGAAACCUCCAGGCUUAACCUGGAGACGCCACUCGAUACUGCCAUGGCUAGAGUCCGGUAGGGGACCACGGAAUUCCUGGUGUAGCGGUGAAAUGCGCAGAUAUCAGGAGGAACACCGGUGGCGAAGGCGGUGGUCUGGGCCGGCACUGACGCUGAGGAGUGAAAGCGUGGGUAGCAAACAGG